AGCCGGGCCUUGAAUCCUUUUCUUUUUUUCCUUUGCAAAGUUGGAAAAACAGCAAAGGAUCCGAGUCCUGAAU
ensembl:miRNA aca-mir-5416 aca-mir-5416